rnacentral:rRNA from 1 species
GACGUAGGGCGCGAGCGUUGUCCGGAUUUAUUGGGCGUAAAGAGCUCGUAGGCGGCUUGUCGCGUCGACUGUGAAAACCCGUGGCUCAACCAUGUGGUCUGCAGUCGAUACGGGCAGGCUAGAAUUCGGUAGGGGAGACUGGAAUUCCUGGUGUAACGGUGAAAUGCGCAGAUAUCAGGGGGAACACCGGUGGCGAAGGCGGGUCUCUGGGCCGAUAUUGACGCUGAGGAGCGAAAGCGUGGGGAGCGAACAGG